rnacentral:misc_RNA from 1 species
GUUUCCUUAAAAAUAGGCGUUCCAAAUGGCAUCCCCUUAUUUGCUCUCUUGCCCAGAUCAAUCUGAACGGAGAUACUAGCUUGCGACAAAUCCAAUCCAGUACUCUGCAAAGCUUGAGCCAAGCUGUUCAUAAACCCUUCUGAAUAAACACUUGAAACGCUUAUUGUCCCCCCUUCAAUAGCCAUCUCUUCCGGUUGAUUUGAUGCAUUGUUGGUGAUGGGACACUCAGUUGUCUGUGCAUCAGAAAUUGGAAUGUGGAGAGAUUGAUCAAGAACGCCAUCACUACGGAUAGAAGCAUGUAAAUUUCCUUCCAGAGACAUGGGAAGUGGAACUUUAUUUGUUAUGUCAGCAUCCUGUAGAAUAUCUCUGCCUAAGUGGGAGUCGAGAGGAUUUUGUGAGCUUGCAAGCAUGGCUGG